rnacentral:rRNA from 1 species
AUACGUAGGCGGCAAGCGUUGUCCGGAAUUAUUGGGCGUAAAGCGCAUGUAGGCGGUGCCUUAAGUCUGUCGUGAAACUGCGGGGCCUAACCCCGUAUGGCGAUGGAAACUGUGGCACUUGAGUGCAGGAGAGGAAAGGGGAACUCCCAGUGUAGCGGGGAAAUGCGUAGAUAUUGGGAAGAACACCGGUGGCGAAGGCGCCUUUCUGGACUGUGUCUGACGCUGAGAUGCGAAAGCCAGGGUAGCGAACGGGAUUAGAUACCCCGGUAGUCCUGGCCGUAAACGAUGGGUACUAGGUGUGGGAGGUAUCGACCCCUUCCGUGCCGGAGUUAACGCAAUAAGUACCCCGCCUGGGGAGUACGGCCGCAAGGCUUAAACUCAAAGGAAUUGGCGGGG